rnacentral:rRNA from 1 species
CAGCCGCCGCGGGAAUACGUAGGGUGCAAGCGUUAAUCGGAAUUACUGGGCGUAAAGCGCGCGCAGGUGGUUUAAUAAGUCUGAUGUGAAAGCCCACGGCUCAACCGUGGAGGGUCAUUGGAAACUGUUAAACUUGAGUGCAGGAGAGAAAAGUGGAAUUCCUAGUGUAGCGGUGAAAUGCGUAGAGAUUAGGAGGAACACCAGUGGCGAAGGCGGCUUUUUGGCCUGUAACUGACACUGAGGCGCGAAAGCGUGGGGAGCAAACAGGAUUAGAUACCCCGGUAGUCCCUGUCUCUUAUAC